rnacentral:lncRNA from 1 species
GGUGGUUGGCGCACCAACGGUCACCCGAAAAUUUUAUUCAAUUUUUUUCAUAAGGUGUUGCUUCUUACUGUGUUUUUUUUUUCUCAGUACAUUCUUAUGGGAUGGCUUGAUUUUAUUUAUCGAAAGUUUACUCCAUGCCCGGCACUGUGCUGAGUAUUUAUUGCCCUGUUUUGAUGAUUUUUGAUUUCUCAUUGCAGCCCUCUGUGGUGGAGACACAGGUGGGGGUACCCAUUUGCAUUUAACAGAUGAGGAAACUGAGGCCCAGAGAAGCAGAGUCACUUGCUGAGGUGACAGCAUGAGUCACGUAGUGGGAAUUCAGACUUGGUGGAAGGCACAGAUGUCUGGUAUUUUUAGCUGGAUUUUUAUUUUGAGUCUUUGUUUUUAACCUCCUGUCGUAGUCUGCGGGCCAGGUGGCUUAAAUAAUAGACCUUUAUUUCUUGCAGUUCUGCAGGCUGGAAGUCAGAGAUCAGGGUACCAGGCAUGGCUGGGUUCUGUUGAGAACCCUCUUGCGGGCUUACAGGCGGCCACCUUCCAGCCAUCCGUGCACUCGCGUGGUGGAGAGAGAGAACAAGCCCCCUGGUGUCUCUUUUUAUAAGAGCACUAAUCCCACCAGGGAGUUGCACCUCAAGGGCUCCUCUAAACCCAGUCACCUCCUGAAGGCCUCAUCGCCAAAUGCCAUCACCCUGGCGGGUAGGGCUUCGACAUAAGAGUUCGGGAGUGGUGGUGAUCACAGCUCCGUCCGUAGCCCCUCCUGAAAUGGCUGAUGACAUUUCACUCUGUGCUGCAGAGACACUUCUCAGCGAGGAAAUAGCCGCCACAUUUCGUGAGAGCCUUCAGCAGAAACCGUCCUUGAGAGCAGAACUGGAGGAGGCAGACUCUGCCCUGUGUCGCCAAGAUAAAAGUGGAUCCGCAGGGGGAUGCAGAGGCAGGUCCGGUGACGAGAGGAGGGCAGCAGUGAAAUGAAAAAGCAGCUUCUGGGGGCGGGAUUGGAAUUCGACAUGAAACAGAGUGGCAGAAGGUUCUCUCUGUGCAGAGCCAACGUCUGAUUUCCCUGGUUGUUAGAGGUCAGGGAGGCCGGUUUACAAGUGCGGGAUGAGGGAUGCUGCGAGAUCACUAAACGCGUUUUGUUUUGCUGUGCCCACCUGCUUUCCAUCCCAUGCUCUGCCUCCUGCUGAAGGAUGCAUGAGUGCAGGAGCGGCUCCCUCCUCUGACCACCCCACCCCUCUGAUGGGACCGCUGAGCUAUGUUAAGGACAGGGAGAAACUUGCCGUUUUGCCUGUGUUCUCUCCUUAUCCGGAAACGUCCCCAGGCCUGUGAAAUUAAGCAGUAACAUAGCAUGCGGCCGUCAUUAUUGCUAGGUAAUUGACUACGUAUCCCGAGUGAAACAAAGGUGGUUACAGAACGGUGAAGUCAAUUAUCAUUUAUUAAUGGUGGUUACAGAGCAUAGCAGAGCAAUUUAUAAAUUGAAUUUUUAAAUUGAAUAGCUUUCUAUUUAUAUUUUUAGAGGUAGGAGGCAGGUGUAUGGGAUAAAGCAUGUGACCUUUAGCUGGUGGCAGGGUGCAUAUGUUUUUGGAGAUUCUUUUUAAAUGAAGUCUUUAUUAGGUCGCCUUUGUGAUGCAUCUUGUUCCCUUAAAUGAAAGCUGUUAAAUGUGCUAAUUCUCUCCAAUCUGAUUUGGGUGAAUGGAUACGGCAACUAUUAUGUGUCUGUAUGUGGGCUGUGAUGUGUAUUUUAUCCACACGCAUAUGCGUGCCUUUAAACAUCAAAAGAGUACAUGUAGAUACACGAAAAGAGGUGUAAGAUAAAGUCAGGGGAAGGUUGGAGCUAACCUCAUGAGACUUUUUCAUCAGUAGAUGUGCCAUUUUAACUGGUCCUGAAAUGGAAAGACAGAUUGCCAAAAAAUCAGGGAAGAGAUCACCAGUAUCAGAGCUUUCACCGGAGGGUGGUUUAGGCUUUGCUGUCUUU